GACGAACGCUGGCGGCGUGCCUAAUACAUGCAAGUCGAGCGGAUGAAGGAGGAGCUUGCUCCUCCUGAUUCAGCGGCGGACGGGUGAGUAAUGCCUAGGAAUCUGCCUGGUAGUGGGGGACAACGUAUCGAAAGGAACGCUAAUACCGCAUACGUCCUACGGGAGAAAGCAGGGGACCUUCGGGCCUUGCGCUAUCAGAUGAGCCUAGGUCGGAUUAGCUUGUUGGUGAGGUAAUGGCUCACCAAGGCGACGAUCCGUAACUGGUCUGAGAGGAUGAUCAGUCACACUGGAACUGAGACACGGACCGGACUCCUACGGGAGGCAGCAGUGGGGAAUAUUGGACAAUGGGCGAAAGCCUGAUCCAGCCAUGCCGCGUGUGUGAAGAAGGUCUUCGGAUUGUAAAGCACUUUAAGUUGGGAGGAAGGGUUGUAGAUUAAUACUCUGCAAUUUUGACGUUACCGACAGAAUAAGCACCGGCUAACUCUGUGCCAGCAGCCGCAGUAAAAC
rnacentral:rRNA from 1 species